rnacentral:rRNA from 1 species
GACGAACGCUGGCGGCGCGCCUAACACAUGCAAGUCGAACGAGCGAGAGAGAGCUUGCUUUCUCGAGCGAGUGGCGAACGGGUGAGUAACGCGUGAGUAACCUGCCUCUAAGAUUGGGACAACAGUUGGAAACGACUGCUAAUACCGCAUAAGCCCACGGCCCGCCUUCUAGCAGGGGGAAAAGUGGCAAUCCGCUUUGGGAUCGCCUCGCGUCAGAUUAGCUAGUUGGUGGGGUAACUGCCCACCAAGGCGACGAUGGGUAGCCGGACUGAGAGGUUGAACGGCCACAUUGGGAAUGAGGCACAGACCAGACUCGGACGGGAGGGAGCAGAAGGGAAUAUUGCAGAAUGGAGGAAACCCUAAUGAAGCGGCGCGGCGGAGAAGAAGAAGGGCUUCGGAUUGUAAACUCGUGUUGGUGGGGAAGAGAAUGACGGUACCGAACAAGGAAGUGACGGCUAACUACGUG